rnacentral:lncRNA from 1 species
UGAUAUUUUCAAUUUUGCUAUUGCGAUGCUUGUCGUCGCUAUCUAAUUUUUCUUUAAAAAAAAAAUUGAUAAUCAUGAACUUUACAAGUAAGAAUCUCGGGCGGUUGCUCCAACAGAAGUAGAAUAGAGCCUCCAAGGAUCUCAACCAUUGUUUAAAAAAUCUCUAUUAGGUCUCCUGAUUUUCAAAUAUAAUUUAAUUUAAACUCCGUUGCUGCCGGACCCAGUACUUUGAUGGAUGCCGUACCGCUGCCACAAGUCGCCCUCAUGCAACUCUGUCGUAGCGGUCCUUGUCGCCCGGACGGAAGCUGCAUGCCAUGGAGUCAUGCUCCACUAUGCUGGAUGCAACCAUCACUCGCACGGGUGCCGCCACCACACCGCUCCACUGCAGUCGCCCCUGUCAUCCAGAUGGAUGCCGCAUGCAUGCGGUUUGGUAUCAUGUGCUGCUGUCGCCGCCAUAGCUGCCUUCGUGUGCCUCUGUCAUCGGACUCAUUGCUCGGAUGGAUGCCGCCUACACAUGGUUCGACAUUUGGCGGCAUCGCCGUCACUUCUGAACCCGCCAAACAGACACCGCCACAGCCACCCUUAUGCGACUACGUCGUAAUGGGGCCCAUCACUCUCACAGAUGCUGCAUGCUGCGGAGCCACGUGCCACCGUGCCAACUGCACCUGACUGCACUCAUUGCUCAUGUGGUCGCCGCCGCCAUUAUAGCCGCCUUAGUGCGGGUCUGCUGUAGUUGGCCUUACCGCUUAGAUGGAUGCCAUAUGCAUGUGGUUCGACACACGACACCCUAAUUGCCAUAGCUGCCUUCGUGCAUCUCUACCUCCGCUGGGAGGUCAGCAGCCUGGCCACUCGAAAAGAUGCUGUGUAUUGUGUUUCGAUGUCUGACAGCGCCGCUGCUGCCUUCACAUGACUCUAUCACCGUAGCCAGACCAACUACACAGACGGAUAACGCUACCGCAGGCCCCGCCUCUCAGAUGGAUGCCAUGUGCCAUGGAAUCAUGCUCCGCCAUGCCGGCCACAUCCAUCGCUUGCAUAGAUGCUGCCACUGCCGUAGUCGGCCCAGCCGCUUAGACGAACACUGCAUGCAUACGGUUCAACAUUCGCGCCACCACCACCAAAAGCUGCCUUUGCGCAUCUCUAUCACCACCUAUGUGCCCCUUGGCACCACUACUUGGAUGGGUGCCACAUAUGCAUGAUUUGACGUCAGGCUCCACGACAAUCAGCCCGCUGCUUGUACAGGCACUGGUGCAUGUGGUUCGACAUCCGGUGCCACCAUCACCAUAAAUAUCCUCACACAUCAUGCCACCAUCGAGAUGGCCUUCAGCCCCCACUGCUCUGCUCGGACAGACACCACAUGCAUGCAGUUUGUUUGACAUCCGACGGUGCCAUAGCUAUCAUGUCAUGACUUUUUAGAUUUGAAAUGCAUCCAAUGACUCGUGCCGCUUCAGAAUCAUCAAAUUUUCUACCACCGUAUUAGAAAGGUUAAACUAAAUUAUAUUUAAAAAUAAAAAAAUCUAACUAGAGAUAUUUUUUUAAAUAUAAAAACUAUAUAAAAAUAUUUAUAAAAUUUAGAGAAUGAAAAAUAUAAUUUAUCAUAUAUGGAUGAUGAUAUGUCAUAGGUGAUGAUUUGACAUAUGGGUAUUGACAUAACAUUGGAUUGCUAAUAUGUCACUUAAAUGAUUGGAUACUUUCAAAAACUUUUGCAGUUUAUGCUAUGUCAUUGCACAUAUAUGGCAUGUUAUCUAUGCCAUAGCACUAUGGGCAUUGAUAUAUCACCUGGUAAUUGGACACUUUCGAGAAAAAUUUUACAUCAAACACCACAUCAUCAUCCAUACCACAUUGUCAUACAUAUGCGACACCAUCUAUGUCACGAUACUUAUGGGUGCUGAUGUGUCACUUGGUGAUUGGAUGUAUUCGAAAAAAAUUCAUAUCAGAUAUCACGUCAUCACCCAUGCUACAUUAUCACACACAUACCACAUCAUCUAUAAGUGCUGACAUAUCACUCAAUGAUUGGAUGUUUUUAGAAAAAUUCUACAUCAUAUAUAUAUAUACACACCACAUAAUCACCCAUGCCAUGCCAUAAAAAAUAAAAAUUUUUAUCCGUUGUGCCAUGUCAUCUAUGUCAUAUCAUCCUCAUUAGAUGUUUUUUUUGCCAUGUAAGCAUCGAUUAUUGCCAGUUAGGGUUUUUUGUGAAAGUGAUCGAAAUUUGAAGAAAAGAUCAUAUUAAAAUAAUUUAAAAAAUAUAGAGACUAAAUUUUAAUUUUUCAUAGUUUAGAAAUAAUUUUAAAAAAUCUAAUUUAAUUCAGAGAUCAAAAAUAUAAUUUAUUUAUUAUUUUUCUAAAGAAUAAAACUAUACCCACAGCCGUGAUAUGAGAUAAAUGAGUUAUAAAAUGGCAGCCCUAAUUUAGCGGUUAUAUCAAUUUUUAAUGGUUAUUCCACGGCGGGAUCAAUCGGUGUAAUGUGGCAUCUUCACUUUUCCAUUGGAUCUUGGGAUAUUCUUUAGAUUUAUAUUAUUUUUUCUGAGUUUAGAAAUAAUAUUACAUUUAUGACAUAGAGAGUAAUUCCAGCCAAAUUUCCAAAUAGUUCACGUUUGGUCGGUAGAAAGAUCUUUUGGAACCAUUAGCUUCUCCUAUAUUAGAAACUAGCAUGCAACAUCCAAGUUGCAUGAUAUUUUUUAUUUAAAAUAAAAAAAUAUAUUUUAUUAAAAUAUAAAUUUUUAUAUAAUAUAAUAUAUAGUAUUUUUAUUAACUAAUGAAUUUAUAUUCAAGCUAAUCUUCAUCUCCCAUAACGUCUCCAUUUGAACUACAAAUAUGAGUACUAAAAAAAUUAUACCAGAGUAUUACUGAAUUGAGAAAGAUUUAUAACAAAAUAUAAAUCAAAAUGAAUGAAGGAAUAAGUUGUCAUGUUUUAAAUUAAAUUACCUCCAGUAGAAUAAAAAAAAGAGUAAAAGACUAAUAUUUAAGAUAUGUUACUGGAUUUUGCUUAAUGAUCUUUUAAAAGGUUUGCUUAAAAAAAUUCAGUAUGAAUCUAUUUUUUAAGACUUGAAAUAAUAGAUUCUCGUUGAACCUAAAAUGAAUGAGAUUCGGAGUUAGGACUUUAUAGCAAAUUAUCAAACCAAGAUUUACUUUAUGAAAAUAUAUUGGUAAUCUUAAAAUUAUACAUGGCAUCUUUGAAACUUUGUGAACUAAAUAUAAUUUAAAACAUAUACAUGCCAUUGAGGAUGUUUCUGAUAAUAGCUAAUAGAUUAAAUCUAUCACAUUUUGUAUCCCUUAUAAAAUUAAGUGUUAGAAUAUCAAUUAGUUCUGGAGCUAAAUUUUUAAAAGUUAUAAAAAUUGAUGUACCAAUUUCAUCUUCAACAAUAUUGCUUAAUUCAUACCUUGGGAUAAUAGAUACAUUAAAAUUAUUUUUUUAACAAAAAAUAAUAUAUUUAUUUUUAGUGAAAUAAAAUAUAAUAUUAAAAAAUAAAAAAAUUAUAGAGACAUCCUUUAAAAUUUGACCGUUUUACACUUAGAUCCUAAAAGAAAAAAAAUUUAACCAUCCACCAAAACUUUGAAAAUGUUACAAAAAGAUCCAGUCAUUUGUCUCUAUUAGGCGACGUUAUAACGUGAGAGUAACUAAGGUUAAAUUUCAUGAAAUACCAUAAAUGUCUUUCUUUUCUAGUUACUCUAGAGAAUGAAAAAAAUAGAGAAAAUCUAAGAAAAACAUAAAAAGAAAGGUGGAAAAAGGAAAAAAAAAAAUUUCAGAUUUUUUUCUUUUUUUUUCUCAUUUCUUUCUCUUUGUCAGAGAUCUAUGGGAAGGAAAGCAUGGAAGGAGAUUGGAGGAGGAAGGUCGAUACUAGUGAGGGUGCCCGUGAGGGGAAAGGCGAUGGUGGAGACUGAUUGGAGGCGGGAGUCUGCGAGGGGGAAGGCAACAUCGAUGAAGAGCGAUGGGAGGUAGGCACCCACAAGGGGGGAAGGCCGAUGUCGGUGAGGGUGUUCAUGAAGGAGAAGGUGAUAGCAAAGAUCGAUGAGGCAGGCAUGUGCGAGGGGGAAGGCAACGAUGAUGAUCGGCGGGAGGUGGGUGUCCGCAAGGAGGAAGGCCGAAGCCGGUGAGGGCAUCUGUGAGGAAGAAAGUGAUGGUGGAGACUGACGGGAGGUGGGCGUCUGCGAGUGCGAAGGUGGCGGUGGAGACCAACGGGAGGUGGGGGUCCACGAGGGGAAAAGCCAAUGCCGGUGAGGGCAUCUGUGAGGAGGAAGGCGAUGGCGAAGAUCGACAAGAGGUGGGCAUCCAUGAGAGGGAAGGUUGAUGCUGAUGAGAGUGCUCGUGAGGGAGAAGGCGAUGUCGGAGACUAGUGGGAGGUGGCAUCUGUGAGGGCCAAAUCUCAGAGUAUAUGCACGGUGGAUAGCACACAAUUAGGAAUCAGUGAAAUACAAGGGGUAUAAUGUGGCAUGUUAUUCACCAUAAGAUUCGCGCGGUCCAAUUGGAUCCGAUGAUUCAGAAAAAAAAAUUGGGUAUGAACUGAGGAUGUUUUAAUCAUUUUAUCUUUUCUGUUAAUGCUGUUAGGUCGGAGACAGACAGCUGGGGCUCUUUGUAACAUUUUCAAAGUUUUGGUGGAUGGCUGAAAUUUUUUUCUUUUGGGAUCUAAGUAUAUAACGAUCAAACUUUAAAAGGUAUUUCUAUAAUUUUUUCUAAAACAUAUAUUAUAACUUUAUGAUGGUACAGGGACUGAUCAUCUUUACUAUAUUGAUUGUACCAAAAAAUAUUAUCAUAAAUUUAUAAUGUGGUCCACAACUAUAACAUAUUCUGUACCAUCAACCAUAAGAGUAUCAAUUGAUUUUAAAUUUGCCUUGCAUAUGAAUUUCACCCCCUAAAAAAUUAAAUAACUAGAUUUUUUGCAUGUGUAAGUUAUUGGAUAUAAUGAAAUAUUAUCUCACAUCUGAAAUAUUAUCAAUCCAACCCUAAACCGAUCCCUAUUUGAACCAACAAUAUUCUGAAAUCUAAUUUGAAAAAAAAAAUGAAUUCCAUAUUUUAAUCUAACCUUGGUCAUUGAUUUUUUGAGCUCAAUCUAUAGGAUAAUACUAAAUUGUUCUAGCCCAAUAUGUCUCGUGUCAACCCAAUCCCAUAAAAAGAUUAUUUAUUAUUAAAUAUUAAAUUUUAAAAUAAAUCAACAAAUAUAAUCCAUAAUCUUAAAUUUUAUUUUUUUAAUUAUCAAUAUUCAUAUAUGUAUAUAUAUUAUAAUUUUAUACAAUUAAAACCAUCAACUUUAUUUAUGUUGAUCUUUGGAUACUUUCUAGACUAUAUAUAAUAAAUUUAAGUAUUUUUACAUGUUUCAAUAUAUGAUCCUAAAAUUAAUCUCAAUAAACCCUCAAAAAUUCUUUUUUCAUGAUGAAUUAGUAUCAUCUAAAUAAUAUAAUCAAUUCUAUUUUUCUAAUCUUCUAAUGUUUUUUCAUUUGUAUAUAAUAAAUCCAAAUAAUUUAUAUAUUUAGAUAUAAAUUCUUAAAGUCUGUCUAAAAAAAUCCAACAAUCAUGUGACAUACAACACAUGGGUAUGAAAAUACAAUGGGCCAAUAUCGUAUUCAAUACUAUAAUAAGCUUAAGGAUCACAAUCAGAUGAAUUUUUUUGGAUUUUCAAUUUACUCUAAAUCAUGAUAGGAUCUAUUUAUCAAUAAUCUAUAGAGUUUGGUAUAGUUUGGGAUUUUAUGUCCCAUUAUGGAUAGACGAAACUUGAAAUUCUAUAUCCUAUUAGAUGAAGCUUGGAAGAGAGAUAGGGAAGUGGCCGUGUGGUAGCUAGAGUGCAAGGUGGUCAUUGGAUUCCACGUACCAUCUCCACAAUCCUAGUGUUUUUUUCUGAACAAAAGAAGAAUAAAAAUCAUAUGGGGCAAGCACUAUAAAAUAUCAUAUAGGGCGGGUUUCAUAGUUUGCUAGGUUUUUCUUAAUACUAAUCUUAGAGAAUAAGUUUAAAAAUCAAAGACUACUACUAAUAGAGUUAUUAGUUCUGUAAUUAAAGCAUUCUCUUUUUUUCUCAUUUUUAGCAUAUACUUUUUAGCGAUAUAUAUUAUAUGACUAUAUGAUACACACUAAAUAUAUAGCUAGGUGAUACAUAAUAUAAGUUUUUUUGAUACACACCUAGUAAUGAUUUAAUAUAUAUCUAUAACUAAAUUGAUAUAUAAUUUAUUGAACUUAGUAUUCACUAGUAUACAGUAUAUAACUAGUUGAUGUAUACCUAAUAUAAAUUCAUCUCAUGUUCCAAUACAUAUCUCUAAGUAAGGGGAUACAUAGUUCUCAGAAUAUAGCAUUCAUCAAUAUACAACAUAUGAAUAAAUGAUACACACUAGAUGGCUUACUGAUAUAUACUAUAAAUUUUCUCGAUACAUACUCAGUAACGAUUCAAUACAUACCUAUAGAUAAAUUGGUACAUGUUUACUAAACUUAGUAUCUAUCAAUACAUAGUAUAUGAUCAAUUGAUAUACAUCGAGCAAAAUAUUCAUCCGACAUUCUAAUAUAUACAUCUCUAGAUAAAAUGAUAUCCAAUUUUUGUAAAUUUUUAGAUGCAAAGAUCUUAGAAAAGAAGAUAAUUAAUUUGAAAGAAGAGAAAAAAAGAAAAUUAAGGAGGAUCUCAUAGAUAGGAAAGAUGACACAUGGGGUUUGAAAUAGGAAAAAGAGAUCAAAGAGGAAGACUUUAUUGAUGGGAGAAAUGGCUUGAUAAGAAACAUAAUGGAUGGAGAGACUUGAUGACCAAGAAAGAGAAUAUGGAUGGUUGUGAAGGAUCUAUUUUAGGUAUACAUUUUAUUUAUUUUUUAACUAUUUUAGUUAUAGAACUAAUGGAUUCUGUUAGUAAGAGAAAUUUAAUCUCUAUUUAAUUUUUAUAUUUUUUAUUUAAAAAGUAAAAAAAAAUGUGGUAUGAAACUAAGUCCGCCCCAUAUGAUGGCUCAUAAUGCUCACACUAUAUGAUUUUUGUUCACAAAAGAAGGUCUGUCCUUGGAAUUGACUUGCCAGUUAGUUGUGGACACCUGGACUAUUGCAUCCUUUGCCUUAUUCUUUAUCCAUCAGAGAUGACAUUCAUUUGGGAGCUUCUGGGGAUUUUUUUUGGUGUAGUGAGCUCUUGGAUAUUAAUAAGCUAGUUGCAGGAUUAUUUUGAAGGCCCACUUUAUUAACUACGAAACUAGAACUCUUGACAAGAUGCCCCAGUACUUUAUUGGCCUUAUUUCUUUUUUUUUUUGGUAAAGAUUGACUUUGUUUCUUUUUGGACAUGUAGAUGAUUCAUGUUUCUUGCAAACUGAUAAAUUAUUUUUUCAAGGAACAAAACUAGAGCCACAGCCGUCACAUGACAGAAAUGAGUUAUAAAAUGACAGUCCUUAUUUAGUGAUUAUAUCAAUUUUUAAUGGUCAUUCCACAGCGGGAUCAAUGGAUGUAUUAUGGCGUUGUCACUUUUCCAUUGGAUCAUGGGCUAUUCAUUAUAUACCACCAUCUCCUAGGCAAUCCAAUUCAUUCCCUAACUAGAUAUUGCUGUAAAAUCUUAGAUAUCAAACUCUCAUUGUUACCCCCAAGAGCGAAACAUUUUAUCUUGGAUAUCAAUUUCCUAUUAUUAAUAAUGAAAAGGCCGGGUUAACAAUUGGUAGCACAAUUGGUUGGAGUUCUUUGAAAGAUAUAACGAUUAUAAAGAUCACCAUUCAAAAUUGAAAAGACAAAUGAAAUGACAAGAUCCUUCAAAAAAAUGAUAAGGUAAAUUUUUCCUGGUAUCAUGAAGAAAUUAAGCUUGAAUUGAGAAAGCAAGAAUGGUUUCUCUAAAAAAGGAGAAACAAUGAAUGAUAUAAUGACCUACCUGAUUCAUAACUAGGUAUUAUACGUCAGAUAAAAAUCAUGCUGCAGCAGAUAAAAAUCAGUAUAUAACUGCAUAGGAGUAAUCUACAUUGAAUUUCCAAAAAUCUUGCAGUCUCCUUAACAAUAAAAAGGGGUAAAAACAGACCCUCCUCACCUCUUGCCACUGAACAGCAUCUGCAAGAAAGCGCCACCAGCAAGGCAAAGUGUUGGAACGAUGAAAUCGGAUGACUUCUUUUCUGGAGAAAUUGUAUCACCAAG